rnacentral:tRNA from 1 species
GGAUCUGUGGUUCAGUGGUAGAAUGCUCGCCUGCCAAGCGGGCGGCCUUGGUUCGAUUCGGGCCAAUGCA